rnacentral:rRNA from 1 species
UACGGAGGGAGCUAGCGUUGUGCGGAAUUACUGGGCGUAAAGCGCGCGUAGGCGGCUUUGUAAGUUAGAGGGGAAAGCCCGGGGCUCAACCCCGGAAUUGCCUUUAAGACUGCAUCGCUUGAAUCCGGGAGAGGUGAGUGGAAUUCCGAGUGUAGAGGUGAAAUUCGUAGAUAUUCGGAAGAACACCAGUGGCGAAGGCGGCUCACUGGACCGGCAUUGACGCUGAGGUGCGAAAGCGUGGGGAGCAAACAGG